rnacentral:lncRNA from 1 species
CGAAGGUCACGGAGAUCAUUACCUAAAACGUGUCAUGCAGUGGUGUAGAGGUUGGGAGAGAACGACACGUGUUGUUUCAUUAUCAAAAAGGUCCAAUAGUCGCAAGGCUGAGGUGGUGAGGAUAAUUAUGGCGUUAUGUUGCUGCCGGGGUGUUGUAUCGUUGAUGUCGACUACGAGAGAAAUUUGUAUAAAAGGAAAGAGAAAAGGCUACAGAAGUCAAUUAAGUGAGCAUCUUCCGACCCGUCAACAACUACAUUCUUCGUAGUAUUAACAGGUCGCAAUCACGGUUAACUAUGGCGUCGGCAGCUAUUGGUUGUUCCGUCGAUUUCUGGGUCGACCGCGUGUGCUGUGCUGAUUCCCCUGGGUAUGGUGGAUAUCAAACCGCAACGCCGCCGCCUUACUACACAACAACAUACGCAACGACCAGUUACUAUACCGAGAAUGCACAGUUAGGUUUACAGUUACACCACCAAGGGUCCAGGUGCACCACAACUUAUGCUGCUCCGAGCUACUACACCGCAGCCCCGAAGUAUUUUUCUUCCCCGAUCUACACUACCAAAGCGCAUGUGCACACCUCCGAGGCUCGCAAGUACUACACCAACCAAGGCACCUGAGAUUACACAUUUACGUAUGCUGUCCAAAGUACUACAGCACUAAGGCACCGGACUACUACACGACUAUAUAUGCUGCUCAACCUACGACACCGAGGCUCCAGCUUAUUACACCACCAAAGCGGUCGAACACAGUGGCGCCCAAGUACGAUGGAAAUCAGUCGGGUGAGCAUCUCCACCACCCAACACGGCAGCCCCGAAGUUUCGAAUAAACUUCGUUUCAAACAGUGGUACGGCGAGGAGCGAAGUCUCUUUUUCGAACAAGACGAAUUCUAUUGCAAUCCCUUCAAGCUAACAAUGGCGUUGCAGACUUGCAGUCGUACAAUGACACCGCGUCGUUAAACUUGACAUUAUUGGUCGGAAAGCCGAACCUCAUGAUGGCCGUGCCAUCACCUACGACAAGUGCCUUAUAGGUGGUAAACGAAAAUCUUUGCCAGUCCCUAAAGAUGUCCACGAGCAAGUGACGCUGUUCCGCAACAUCUAUGGUCCAGUCCUCCCUAACUUUUUGAGCCCAUGAACUUCCGAGAAGGUGGAAGCGGAAGACGUUAAUGUGUUGCCCAAAGCUAAUGUUGAGGGUGUAAGUUUGGAAGACGACAAGGUCGCAUUGACCUUAAACGAUGGUCAAAAGCAGAUUUAAACUGACCAUGUCGUCGCUGCUGUCGGUUUGGACGUAAACAUUUGGCUGUCGCUUCUGGAUUGAAAAUAGAUUCCAAUUUUUGUGGCUAUCGAGUCAAUGCUGAGCUUGAACCACUACCAAAUGUCCGGUUGGCUGGAAAUGAUGCGUUUUUUUUGUGAUAGCAAAUUGGGUCGUCAUCGUAUGAAUCAUCACCACCGUGCUGUUGUAUCAGGGCGAUUGGCUGGAGAGAAGAAUACUGGCAACGAAACAUGGAUGAACAACUGAUGCAGUGCACUGUCACCAAGUGCAUUCUUCGUCGUAUUCAAGUCGUAAGUACGCAAUCGGUCAACUAUGAUGUCGUGCUGCUGUUGGUUGUUGUGCCGUUGAUGACUGGGUUAACCUGGUGUACUCAUGUCUCCUGGGUAUGGCGGAUACCGAAACACAACGCCGCCGCCUUACUACACAAUAACAGCAUACGCAAUUACCAGUAACUAGACCGCCAAGGCACCAGAGUAUUACACCACACCUUAUAAUGCUCCGAGCUACUACACCGAAGCCCUAAAGUUUAACUCUGCCCCGAGUUACAUCAACGAAGAAGUCAAGUACUACACCGUACCUACACCGUUGAUGCUGAUGUAGUGUUACCGAAGUUGCAUCAUGUAUUGUUAAAUUGUCAUCGUGACUAUUGCAGUUUACCGUUUAUAAGUUCAGAAGCAACAAAAACAAAAAUGGGAUGUUUAUGUCAAACAAAUAAUAAACAUGUUUUGGGGGUUGGGAAGGGAAAGUGGUGGAUGUUGGAGGAUAUUUCAAGUUUGGAUAAAAAUUCAGUUAAUCUAUAACCCUACAAACGUAUCCUUACCAAUUAAUCUCCAAACCCCACAAACAUACUAACCACAAACAAAAAUUCAAUAAACAAAGCGUCCGGUUCAACACGAUUCUUCUGCACGAGUUUAAACGCAACCCGCCACCACCGCUGCGGCAAUGAGACAAAAAGUGAUGUUUUGGUUUUGCGGAAAUCUGUAUCGUCUUUGUAACUUGACUGACGGAGAUUACCACAAAACAUAAACCAUGGCUAUUUGUUUCAUUGGGUAGUGGGUUGCAUUGUUUAAAUCGCACAUGCUGUUAUAGGACAUGUCUACGGCCCCCAG